rnacentral:rRNA from 1 species
UACAUGGGGUGCAAUCGUUGCUCGGAAUUAUUGGGCGUAAAGCGCGCGUAGGCGGUUACUCAAGUCGGAUGUGAAAGCCCUCGGCUUAACCGAGGAAGUGCACCCGAAACUGAGUAGCUAGAGUACUAAAGAGGGUCGCGGAAUUCCCGGUGUAGAGGUGAAAUUCGUAGAUAUCAGGAAGAACACCGGUGGCGAAGGCGGAUCUCUGGGCCAGUACUGACACUGAGGAGCGAAAGCGUGGGUAGCAAACAGG